AGAACACUUGAGUCUAUAAGAAAAUAAUCAUGUGUUUUAACAUAAUUUCUAACAUGUGUUGGUGAUACCAACUAUACACAAAAGCUCAAACUAUGCAAGAAAUUUGAACAAGUACGAGGUUAACACAUCACACAAACAAAAACUACAAUGCCUCCGAAAAGCGACAAGCCCUGUAAGUGGGACGAGACGAAGGAGAAGAGGUCGAUAAAGUUAGAGAAAGAUGCUAAAGCAAAGAAGGAAGAAAAGAGGAUGGUAAAAUGUACCGAUUGCAAGCCUUGGCAGUCAUUGCUUUUCUAUGCGAUACCAGCUGCGGUUUACGCCGCAUGGCUGUUGAAAAUGGCAAAAUGCCCAUCCAAAUGCUGUCCGCCUCCGUGUUGUUGCCCUCCCCCUGAAACAGUAAAGAUUCCAGGAAAAAGCCAGUGUAAGAAGACGAUUAACUGAGGGUUGGGGAAACUAGAAAAAUAUGGGGUGGUUUAAAAAGGACAAUAGUAAAGAAAAGAAGAAAGAAGAGCAACAGAAGCAGGCUGAAGAGCAACAGAAGCAGGCUGAAGAGCCUUCGCCAAUACAAUGUGCAGCAAAGAAUGGUAAAGGUGGUGGUGUGAAUUGUGAAUUACGAAGGUACUUCAUAUAUUCGUUGCCAUUUCUUUUUGUACUCCCGUUCAUUGUCAGAAAGGUAUCUUGUUCGAAUCCAUCAUGUGCCAGACAAGCUUGCCCACAGGUGGAUACCGAGAGAAUAGCUUGCCAGAAAUGUAAACCAUGCUCCGAAGGCACGUGUGAACCACAAAAAAAAUGCUAAUUUAAAUGUAAUCCUGUGAACAAUUUAAUACUGUACAGCCACUCAAUUAAAAUGAAAUAAAAAAAGAGAAAAUCUUAACAAUAA